GAUGAAGAACGUAGCGAAAUGCGAUAAGUAAUGUGAAUUGCAGAAUUCAGUGAAUCAUCGAAUCUUUGAACGCACAUUGCGCCCGCCAGUAUUCUGGCGGGCAUGCCUGUUCGAGCGUCAUUUCAACCAUCAAGCCCCCCGGCUUGUGUUGGGGACCUGCGGCUGCCGCAGGCCCUGAAAAGCAGUGGCGGGCUCGCUGUCACACCGAGCGUAGUAGCAUACACCUCGCUCUGGGCGUGCUGCGGGUUCCGGCCGUUAAACCACCUUCAUAACCCAAGGUUGACCUCGGAUCAGGUAGGAAGACCCGCUGAACUUAAGCAUAUCAAUAAGCGGAGGA
rnacentral:misc_RNA from 1 species